UGGAAAAUGAAUCCAAUGUUCAUCUGAAGUAGAUAGAUAGAUCUCCUGAGAAGAUAUCAAAUAAUGAAAAAUCAGCUGUGAAUAGACUUGUAAUCUGAAUCUGAAUCUACAUGAUAUUUACUAUUGAAUGAAAAAUCAAAAUUGCUAAAUGAUUCAAUUGAAUAGUGCCAUGACAUGAUUUCAACUAAGUUAUUAUUAUUCAUCGUUGUUGUUGAACAAGCAGCAGGAGUUUGUCACAGGUGAAAAUUGGAACCACAAAGAAUUGAAAAAAAUUGAGAGAGAGGAAAUAUUGGGUUUUGUCUGGAUUUUACCUUCUUUUUUUGUUGACUGGUGAAUGAGUGAUUGAAAUUAAUGUUCUCGAAAUGGCAAUGAUAGAUAUUGGAGUUUGUUAGAAAAUGAAGCAUCACAAAUUACAGUUGGAGGUGUUUGAUGAAUCUUAUUGCCAGGACUCAAAUUAUAGGUUCACAAAGUUGUUAAGAUAAUCAGAAUAAACAGAAGCAGAGGCAGAACACAACCAUGUAGAGGAGCAUAUGAAUGACCGUUGGAGUAUGGGAAGCAACAUUCAUCCGUCUACCCAGUCAAGGAAAAUUUCCAUAGGAGCUAUGGCAGAACCGAAAGCCAGCUCAAGAAGCGGACCUCUAAGAAAGGGGUUCAUUUUUGUUGUCCUUAGAAUCAAAAAGAAAUACUAGGUGUUUGUAUGCUUCUCUACUUUUUCAGGCGGUGAAAUUAUUGGAGUGGGUUGUAUUCUCAGGGUUCUGUUCAUAUCCAGUUUGAAGGUUGCAUUAGGAUAUUGCAAGUCAAUGGACAUAAAUAUGCAGCAAAGGUGAUAUUUAUGAGUUUAUAUGUGAUUGUAAAAUGUCUGGCUUUGGCUAUCUCAUCCUUCAUUUUCCUGAUUUCUUUACAUCAUUUUUGCAGGUUGCGAGAUUAUAUGAGGGCUACUUACACAUCCAGGUCAGCUACUAUUAUUUUUUGGUUUAUUUCAUUGCAUUUUGUUUCUUUGUAGAUGAUCUUAGGUGUGCCUCUUUAAUGAUUUUAAUGGUGUUUUUUUACAAUACUAUAUAACUUCAUUUUACCAGCUCAUUCCGUUUACAAUAUGCUGGUUCUUUUAUUUAGAGUCAAGCACAAGAUUCAUUGUUUUGUUCCCUAAAAAUAGUCUUCUUCUUUUAUUGUUGUGUGCAGAAUAUCCAAUUUUUGUAUAUUUUCACAUUAUGCACUCAUUUCAUUUAACAUUUUAGUGCACCCAAAUGUGAAGUUUAGACAAGAACUUUACAUGAUCGUUUUGUGUUGUUCUACAACAUCUUGGAAGAGCCAUAUUCAAAAUCACAAGAUUUGUACGAUGCUAUGACUCAUUUAUCAUUGUUUAUCUACUAUAUUUUGCUAUAGCAUGUUCGUGUCUUUGUUCUAAUUAUGUUGUUGUUCAUGCUCUUUGCUUCUAGAGUGAGUCUCUUCUUUCAUAACUUUGAUUAAUCAGUUGGCAAUAAGUUUGAGAACCAAAGAGAGGGUUAAGAAGGCCAAAUAUGGUGUUGUCUCUGCUGUUCUUACAUCAAAUGAUGCCACUGAGACUAAGAUAAGCUGAAUCAUGUUUACGGAUCUGUCAUGCUUUUGAAUUACGAUCACAGCCGCAGGUGCUGUUAUACUGCGAACAUUUUUAUUGCGGAAAAAUCUAGGACUUACUUUACAGGUUCUAAAGAAAAAAGGUGUUGUGAUUCUCCCAGACAUUUAUGCAAAUUCAGGAGGUGUUACAGUUAGCUACUUUGAGUGGGUUCAGGGAGUAGCUUCUUUGCUCAAUGGCAUGUUUGGUUCUGUAACCGGAAGUGCAGCAUCGGUGUUACAAGAGUAGCAAAAAUUACUAAGAGUUAUGACCAUUUGGAGCUUAUGCCAAAGUCGUAAUUCUACCGACACCACACCUACUUUCAUCGUGAGCCGAGCAAAGGUGGUAUAAGUGCGCCUCUGCGGGCUUCACAGUGUUGGGUGUUUAUAUGAUAGCCAAUCAUGCUGUUCGAUACAUCAUGAAAAGAUGACGUCGCAAUGAAUUGGAAAAAAAGGGUUCUCGCUGCAGCUGCUAAGAUAUGUGGACAAGAUAAUGGAGGUAUAUUGCAAUGGUGUUGGAAUCCGAGAGAAUGCUUGAAUAGGAGGUGAUGGCUGGUGCCUUGUGGAGAGGACUGUUUUGGUUGCUGCUAUGAGGUUUUGGGCCUGUCAGUUAUUGGUUUUUGGUUUAUUGGCUUUCUGUUAGUUUUUCUGCAGCAUUACUGCCGCUGUUUUUUCUAUCAGUUUCGUGGUUUUGGUUGGCCUAUGCGCUUCUGCGUUUUGUUUUGCCGUUGUAGCCAGCUUUGGCUUUUGUAAUUCUCUUAAACCUUUAGCACUUCUUGUGCUUUGUUAUUAUUAAUAUAUGUUGUUUCA